rnacentral:tRNA from 1 species
GCCAAUGUGGCUCAGUGUUUAGAGCAUCAGCCAGCAUACCGGAAGGUCAUGGGUUCGAUUCUCGGUCAAGGGCA